AUAAUGACUCUCGGCAACGGAUAUCUCGGCUCUCGCAUCGAUGAAGAACGWAGCGAAAUGCGAUACUUUUGCAGAAUCCCGUGAACCAUCGAGUCUUUGAACGCAAGUUGCGCCCGAAGCCUUCUGGCCGAGGGCACGUCUGCCUGGGCGUCACGCA
rnacentral:rRNA from 1 species